GCUAUACAAGGAUCAGGUGUCUGUCUUCCGACCUAGCCGAAACGAGCAGCAACACCCACAAAUAUGAGUGUUGCAUUAUUUUAGACCUCAAAAAUAUAUAGAAGGAUGCAAUAUUUCUCACAAAAUACAGCUGUGAUAAUAACCAAAGCAAAACUUAAUAUUUUCUCUAAAUGAAAGAGGAAAGCUCCUACAUGCUCCAACAAAUAAAUUAACAAAAAAAGCAAAAAAGAUAGAUGAUAACAAUCAAAUUAAUAAGCAG
rnacentral:lncRNA from 1 species